rnacentral:rRNA from 1 species
UACGUAGGGGGCGAGCGUUGUCCGGAUUUAUUGGGCGUAAAGGGCGCGUAGGCGGCCCGGCGCGUCCGCGGUGAAAGCUCCCGGCUCAACUGGGAGAGGUCCGCGGAAACGGUCGGGCUGGAGCAAGGUAGGGGGUCGUGGAAUUCCCGGUGUAGUGGUGGAAUGCGUAGAGAUCGGGAGGAACACCAGUGGCGAAGGCGGCGACCUGGACCUGUGCUGACGCUGAGGCGCGAAAGCGUGGGGAGCGAUCCGG